AACCUGAUUUCACUGCUUUUUUUCACUCAAUGAAACCAUUGGUUACGCAACGACAUUCAAGUCAAGAGGACCUUUGAUAUCCGUACGAUUUUACUUGGUCCGGACAUCUUCUUUGUGGGAAUGACUCAAGAUCUCUACCCUGGGCAUUUCUACAAGUGCAUGAAGUCAGCAUUUUACUACACAACUGAUAAAGGCUACUAUAUCCACCGUAUAUUAAAGUACGAAACUACUAAUGA